CUUGCGGCCACAUUAUAUUGAAACACCAAUUCCGGUACGAUCACCGAAAUCAAGCAAUAUUAAACCUGGUCAGUACCUCAAUGGGUGACCGCUUGCGAAUACCAGGUGUAGUAAG